rnacentral:rRNA from 1 species
GACGAACGCUGGCGGCGUGCUUAACACAUGCAAGUCGAACGGAAAGGCCCUGCUUUUGUGGGGUGCUCGAUUGGCGAACGGGUGAGUAACACGUGAGUAACCUGCCCUUGACUUUGGGAUAACUUCAGGAAACUGGGGCUAAUACCCGAUAGGAUCUCCUGCUGCAUGGGGGGGGUUGGAAAGUUUCGGCGGUUGGGGAUGGACUCGCGGCUUAUCAGCUUGUUUGGGGGGUAGUGGCUUACCAAGGGUUUGACGGGUAGCCGGCCUGAGAGGGUGACCGGCCACAUUGGGACUGAGAUACGGACCAGAAUCCUACGGGCGGCAGCAGUGGGGAAUAUUGCACAAUGGGCGGAAGCCUGAUGCAGCAACGCCGCGUGCGGGAUGACGGCCUUCGGGUUGUAAACCGCUUUCGCAUGUGACGAAGCGUGAGUGACGGUAAUGGGUAAAGAAGCACCGGCUAACUACGUG